rnacentral:rRNA from 1 species
AACGAACGCUGGCGGCAUGCCUAACACAUGCAAGUCGAACGAGACCUUCGGGUCUAGUGGCGCACGGGUGCGUAACGCGUGGGAACCUGCCCUUAGGUUCGGAAUAACUCCCCGAAAGGGGUGCUAAUACCGGAUAAUGUCUUCGGACCAAAGAUUUAUCGCCUUUGGAUGGGCCCGCGUUGGAUUAGCUAGUUGGUAGGGUAAAAGCCUACCAAGGCGACGAUCCAUAGCUGGUCUGAGAGGAUGAUCAGCCACACUGGGACUGAGACACGGCCCAGACUCCUACGGGAGGCAGCAGUGGGGAAUAUUGGACAAUGGGCGAAAGCCUGAUCCAGCAAUGCCGCGUGAGUGAUGAAGGCCUUAGGGUUGUAAUGCUCUUUGACCCGAGAUGAUAAUGACAGUACCGGGUGAAUAAGCUCCGGCUAACUCCGUG